rnacentral:rRNA from 1 species
GUGAUCAUACCAGUAGUAAUGCACUGUAUCCCAUCAGAACUUUAAAGUAAAGCGUGCUUGAGUGAGACCAGUACUAGGAUGAGUGACCCCCUAGGAAAUCCUUAUGUUGCACCU